UAUCACAGCCAGUUUUGAUGAGUG
rnacentral:miRNA from 1 species